CCUACGGGAGGCAGCAGUGAGGAAUAUUGGUCAAUGGACGAGAGUCUGAACCAGCCAAGUAGCGUGAAGGAGGACGGUCCUAUGGGUUGUAAACUUCUUUUAUAAAGGAAUAAAGCGAGGCACGUGUGCCUUGUUGCAUGUACUUUAUGAAUAAGGAUUGGCUAACUCCGUGCCAGCAGCCGCGGUAAUACGGAGGAUUCGAGCGUUAUCCGGAUUUACUGGGUUUAAAGGGAGCGUAGUUGGGUUGUUAAGUCAGUUGUUAAAGUUUGCGGCUCAACCGUAAAAUUGCAAUUGAUACUGGCAGUCUUGAGUACAGUUGAGGUAGGCGGAAUUCGUGGUGUAGCGGUGAAAUGCUUAGAUAUCACGAAGAACCCCGAUUGCGAAGGCAGCUUACUAAACUGUGACUGACAUUGAUGCUCGAAAGUGUGGGUAUCAAACAGGAUUAGAUACCCCUGUAGUC
rnacentral:rRNA from 1 species